CAGAAUUCAACUCACAAACAGAAUCUACAGCCGCAAUGACUGCAGUGGUGCUCCUCUGUGUCCUCGCAGUCUUCAUUCAGGACUCAAGUUGUCAGAUUUCUGUGAAUCAGCCUUCAGAACCAAAAUCAGUUCCUGUUGGAGGGAGUGUCACGUUCACUUGUAGCACUGGGAGUAAUGUGAAUAACUGGAUAGCCUGGUACCAGCAGAGACCUGGAGAAGCUCCCAAACUUCUGAUAUCUGGUGCAGACUCUCACCACACUGACACCCCGAGUCGAUUCAGUGGCAGCGGAUAUAGAACUUCAUUUAGUUUGACCAUCAUUGGAGUCCAGCCUGAAGAUGCUGGUCACUACUACUGUCAGCAGUAUUGGAGUGUCCCUCUCACACAGUAACAGAGACUCAUACCAAAACCUCUCUGAGCUAUCGUUAUGUCUUCAGGUGUAACAUAAAAGCAAUGAGUUGGAACUAAAGAGGAACAAGCU